UUAAGCGACUAAGCGUACACGGUGGAUGCCCUGGCAGUCAGAGGCGAUGAAGGACGUGCUAAUCUGCGAUAAGCGUCGGUGAGGUGAUAUGAACCGUUAUAACCGGCGAUUUCCGAAUGGGGAAACCCAGUGUGUUUCGACACACUAUCAUUAACUGAAUCCAUAGGUUAAUGAGGCGAACCGGGGGAACUGAAACAUCUAAGUACCCCGAGGAAAAGAAAUCAACCGAGAUUCCCCCAGUAGCGGCGAGCGAACGGGGAGGAGCCCAGAGCCUGAAUCAGUGUGUGUGUUAGUGGAAGCGUCUGGAAAGGCGCGCGAUACAGGGUGACAGCCCCGUACACAAAAAUGCACAUGCUGUGAGCUCGAUGAGUAGGGCGGGACACGUGGUAUCCUGUCUGAAUAUGGGGGGACCAUCCUCCAAGGCUAAAUACUCCUGACUGACCGAUAGUGAACCAGUACCGUGAGGGAAAGGCGAAAAGAACCCCGGCGAGGGGAGUGAAAAAGAACCUGAAACCGUGUACGUACAAGCAGUGGGAGCCUCUUUAUGGGGUGACUGCGUACCUUUUGUAUAAUGGGUCAGCGACUUAUAUUCUGUAGCAAGGUUAACCGAAUAGGGGAGCCGAAGGGAAACCGAGUCUUAACUGGGCGUUAAGUUGCAGGGUAUAGACCCGAAACCCGGUGAUCUAGCCAUGGGCAGGUUGAAGGUUGGGUAACACUAACUGGAGGACCGAACCGACUAAUGUUGAAAAAUUAGCGGAUGACUUGUGGCUGGGGGUGAAAGGCCAAUCAAACCGGGAGAUAGCUGGUUCUCCCCGAAAGCUAUUUAGGUAGCGCCUCGUGAAUUCAUCUCCGGGGGUAGAGCACUGUUUCGGCAAGGGGGUCAUCCCGACUUACCAACCCGAUGCAAACUGCGAAUACCGGAGAAUGUUAUCACGGGAGACACACGGCGGGUGCUAACGUCCGUCGUGAAGAGGGAAACAACCCAGACCGCCAGCUAAGGUCCCAAAGUCAUGGUUAAGUGGGAAACGAUGUGGGAAGGCCCAGACAGCCAGGAUGUUGGCUUAGAAGCAGCCAUCAUUUAAAGAAAGCGUAAUAGCUCACUGGUCGAGUCGGCCUGCGCGGAAGAUGUAACGGGGCUAAACCAUGCACCGAAGCUGCGGCAGCGACACUAUGUGUUGUUGGGUAGGGGAGCGUUCUGUAAGCCUGUGAAGGUGUACUGUGAGGUAUGCUGGAGGUAUCAGAAGUGCGAAUGCUGACAUAAGUAACGAUAAAGCGGGUGAAAAGCCCGCUCGCCGGAAGACCAAGGGUUCCUGUCCAACGUUAAUCGGGGCAGGGUGAGUCGACCCCUAAGGCGAGGCCGAAAGGCGUAGUCGAUGGGAAAACAGGUUAAUAUUCCUGUACUUGGUGUUACUGCGAAGGGGGGACGGAGAAGGCUAUGUUGGCCGGGCGACGGUUGUCCCGGUUUAAGCGUGUAGGCUGGUUUUCCAGGCAAAUCCGGAAAAUCAAGGCUGAGGCGUGAUGACGAGGCACUACGGUGCUGAAGCAACAAAUGCCCUGCUUCCAGGAAAAGCCUCUAAGCAUCAGGUAACAUCAAAUCGUACCCCAAACCGACACAGGUGGUCAGGUAGAGAAUACCAAGGCGCUUGAGAGAACUCGGGUGAAGGAACUAGGCAAAAUGGUGCCGUAACUUCGGGAGAAGGCACGCUGAUAUGUAGGUGAAGCGACUUGCUCGUGGAGCUGAAAUCAGUCGAAGAUACCAGCUGGCUGCAACUGUUUAUUAAAAACACAGCACUGUGCAAACACGAAAGUGGACGUAUACGGUGUGACGCCUGCCCGGUGCCGGAAGGUUAAUUGAUGGGGUUAGCGGUAACGCGAAGCUCUUGAUCGAAGCCCCGGUAAACGGCGGCCGUAACUAUAACGGUCCUAAGGUAGCGAAAUUCCUUGUCGGGUAAGUUCCGACCUGCACGAAUGGCGUAAUGAUGGCCAGGCUGUCUCCACCCGAGACUCAGUGAAAUUGAACUCGCUGUGAAGAUGCAGUGUACCCGCGGCAAGACGGAAAGACCCCGUGAACCUUUACUAUAGCUUGACACUGAACAUUGAGCCUUGAUGUGUAGGAUAGGUGGGAGGCUUUGAAGUGUGGACGCCAGUCUGCAUGGAGCCGGCCUUGAAAUACCACCCUUUAAUGUUUGAUGUUCUAACGUUGGCCCCUGAUCGGGGUUGCGGACAGUGUCUGGUGGGUAGUUUGACUGGGGCGGUCUCCUCCUAAAGAGUAACGGAGGAGCACGAAGGUUGGCUAAUCCUGGUCGGACAUCAGGAGGUUAGUGCAAUGGCAUAAGCCAGCUUGACUGCGAGCGUGACGGCGCGAGCAGGUGCGAAAGCAGGUCAUAGUGAUCCGGUGGUUCUGAAUGGAAGGGCCAUCGCUCAACGGAUAAAAGGUACUCCGGGGAUAACAGGCUGAUACCGCCCAAGAGUUCAUAUCGACGGCGGUGUUUGGCACCUCGAUGUCGGCUCAUCACAUCCUGGGGCUGAAGUAGGUCCCAAGGGUAUGGCUGUUCGCCAUUUAAAGUGGUACGCGAGCUGGGUUUAGAACGUCGUGAGACAGUUCGGUCCCUAUCUGCCGUGGGCGCUGGAGAACUGAGGGGGGCUGCUCCUAGUACGAGAGGACCGGAGUGGACGCAUCACUGGUGUUCGGGUUGUCAUGCCAAUGGCACUGCCCGGUAGCUAAAUGCGGAAGAGAUAAGUGCUGAAAGCAUCUAAGCACGAAACUUGCCCCGAGAUGAGUUCUCCCUGAGACUUAGAGUCUCCUGAAGGAACGUUGAAGACGACGACGUUGAUAGGCCGGGUGUGUAAGCGCAGCGAUGCGUUGAGCUAACCGGUACUAAUGAACCGUGAGGCUUAACCUU
rnacentral:rRNA from 1 species